CGGCAGAGGAGAGCACAGUUGACGUUUCAAGUCCUCAUGACCCUUCAACAGAACUAAGUAAAAAUAGGAAAGGGUGACCCUGGGACAGGCAGUCAGCAGCACCUAGAGGAGAGCAGAAGAGCUAUAAAAACAACACGGAAAGUGGAGAGACUUCGAGAGCAGAGGUGACUGAGGGAGUUCAGUGAGGUGAGAGGAGGUGCUUCUUUCCUUUUCUACCUUUCCUCAGAAAGAAGAGCGGCAGCGUUUGUAAGUAGGAUCUGGAGAAGGCAGCCCACAACAGGAGGGAGAGAGAAGACGGGAUGUCUGAGCUCAGAUCCCUCACUCAAUUUGAGCAGCAGGCUGCUGAGCUGGUAGACGAGUAUCGAGACCGUGCCUGUGCGGAUGGCAAGGUGCCAGCAGGAAGAGAAGGAGGCCAGCCUCCGCAACAGAAAUAAGCACCAGCUCAAAGGAGACCUUGGAGGAAGACGACAAGACUUCAUACCUAUACAGCUGUCGCAGCUUUCACCUGCACCCUCCACCAGCCCAGAGACACACCUCAGUGGGUCAUAUAUCUAGUUUAGAGGGUCACGAUUUGUGGUCACCUCACAGACACAUGCAGGAAGAUGCAGCAACAGCAAAAGUCUCUGGCACCCAGAGGACUACUGGAGAACAGGCUCCUGCUAUGUCAGAGUCAGAUGACGAGUCUCUGGAAGCAGCCAUAGAAAAUAUGUUGGAGAUUCAGAGAGAUGCCCAAGAACAUCAGUCAGAGGUGUCAGAGGCCCUCAACAGAGUGCCGUCUGCGUGCUCUCUGAUGUUAUGUUUCCGACAUGUGAGCGCGUGGAAGUCUCCAUGGGUAGGAUGGCGGACGCCAUGGAGACCCAGGUCCAGCAGUUUCUGCCAGCUAUGUGCUCGGGCCUGCACACCAUUGCUGUAGCCAUGGCUGUGUUCAGCAGUGGCUAGGCGAGAGGCAAGAUGGGCACCUUGACCACGCCCCACAUUCCCCCUCUCAAGGAAUCAGGGAGGGGCCAUCAGCCACCCAAAGGGAGGAAAAACGUCAGGCGGACACCCCAUGGGCAUUCACCCCAGAGAUUUCAAGGGUGUCCAGGUGCUCCCAAUCCCCUUUGCCUGUGACCCCAUUAGCUCCAGCUGUUCAAGCUAUGGAGAGUGCACCUACACCCAAAUAGUCAUUGUCUUUUGUCCCAAAAUAUCCUGGACCCAAGCCUUCAAACUUUGUUACGUCUCAUUGAGGAUAAUGUGCUGUAAU